CCUUUGACGUUAGCGGCGGACGGGUGAGUAACACGUGGGUAACCUACCUAUAAGACUGGGAUAACUUCGGGAAACCGGAGCUAAUACCGGAUAAUAUUUCGAACCGCAUGGUUCGAUAGUGAAAGGUGGUUUUGCUAUCACUUAUAGAUGGACCCGCGCCGUAUUAGCUAGUUGGUAAGGUAACGGCUUACCAAGGCGACGAUACGUAGCCGACCUGAGAGGGUGAUCGGCCACACUGGACUGAGACACGGUCCAGACUCCUACGGGAGGCAGCAGAC
rnacentral:rRNA from 1 species